AUUGAACGCUGGCGGCAUGCCUUACACAUGCAAGUCGAACGGCAGCACGGGAGCUUGCUCCUGGUGGCGAGUGGCGAACGGGUGAGUAAUACAUCGGAACGUACCCAGGAGUGGGGGAUAACGUAGCGAAAGUUACGCUAAUACCGCAUAUUCUGUGAGCAGGAAAGCGGGGGAUCGCAAGACCUCGCGCUCUUGGAGCGGCGGAUGUCGGAUUAGCUAGUUGGUGAGGUAAAAGCUCACCAAGGCGACGAUCCGUAGCAGGUCUGAGAGGAUGAUCUGCCACACUGGGACUGAGACACGGCCCAGACUCCUACGGGAGGCAGCAGUGGGGAAUUUUGGACAAUGGGGGCAACCCUGAUCCAGCCAUGCCGCGUGAGUGAAGAAGGCCUUCGGGUUGUAAAGCUCUUUCGGCGGGGAAGAAAUGGCAACGGCUAAUAUCCGUUGUUGAUGACGGUACCCGCAUAAGAAGCACCGGCUAACUACGUGCCAGCCGCCGCUGUAAAAC
rnacentral:rRNA from 1 species